rnacentral:rRNA from 1 species
CACACAGUAAACGAUGAAUACUCGCUGUUUGCGAUAUACAGUAAGCGGCCAAGCGAAAGCAUUAAGUAUUCCACCUGGGGAGUACGCCGGCAACGGUGAAACUCAAAGGAAUUGACGGGGACCCGCACAAGCAGCGGAGCAUGUGGUUUAAUUCGAAGCAACGCGAAGAACCUUACCUGGACUUGACAUCCCCUGAAUGACUCGUAAUGGAGGAAGCCCUACGGGGCAGGGAGACAGGUGG